rnacentral:rRNA from 1 species
AGACGGAGGGUGCUAGCGUUGUUCGGAAUCACUGGGCGUAAAGGGCGCGUAGGCGGCUUGGAUAGUCAGAUGUGAAAGCCCGGGGCUCAACCUCGGAACUGCAUUUGAUACUUCCAGGCUAGAGGUCGGAAGAGGAGGGUGGAAUAUCCAGUGUAGAGGUGAAAUUCGUAGAUAUUGGAUGGAACACCGGUGGCGAAAGCGGCUCUCUGGUCCGAAUCUGACGCUGAGGCGCGAAAGCGUGGGGAGCAAACAGGAUUAGAAACCCCAGUAGUCC